UGGGGAAUUUUGGACAAUGGGGGAAACCCUGAUCCAGCCAUCCCCGCGUGUGCGAUGAAGGCCUUCGGGUUGUAAAGCACUUUUGGCAGGAAAGAAACGUCGCGGGUUAAUACCCCGCGAAACUGACGGUACCUGCAGAAUAAGCACCGGCUAACUACGUGCCAGCAGCCGCGGUAAUACGUAGGGUGCAAGCGUUAAUCGGAAUUACUGGGCGUAAAGCGUGCGCAGGCGGUUCGGAAAGAAAGAUGUGAAAUCCCAGAGCUUAACUUUGGAACUGCAUUUUUAACUACCGGGCUAGAGUGUGUCAGAGGGAGGUGGAAUUCCGCGUGUAGCAGUGAAAUGCGUAGAUAUGGCGGAGGAACACCGAUGGCGAAAGGCAGCCUCCUGGGAUAACACUGACGCUCAUGCACGAAAAGCGUGGGGAGCAAAACAGGAUUAGAUACCCUGGUAGUCCACGCCCUAAAACGAUGUC
rnacentral:rRNA from 1 species